rnacentral:rRNA from 1 species
AUUGAACGCUGGCGGCAGGCCUAACACAUGCAAGUCGAACGGUAACGGGAAGAAGCUUGCUUCUUUGCUGACGAGUGGCGGACUGGUGAGUAAUGUCUGGGAAACUGCCUGAUGGAGGGGGAUAACUACUGGAAACGGUAGCUAAUACCGCAUAACGUCGCAAGACCAAAGAGGGGGACCUUCGGGCCUCUUGCCAUCGGAUGUGCCCAGAUGGGAUUAGCUAGUAGGUGGGGUAACGGCUCACCUAGGCGACGAUCCCUAGCUGGUCUGAGAGGAUGACCAGCCACACUGGAACUGAGACACGGUCCAGACUCCUACGGGAGGCAGCAGUGGGGAAUAUUGCACAAUGGGCGCAAGCCUGAUGCAGCCAUGCCGCGUGUAUGAAGAAGGCCUUCGGGUUGUAAAGUACUUUCAGCGGGGAGGAAGGGAGUAAAGUUAAUACCUUUGCUCAUCGACGUUACCCGCAGAAGAAGCACCGGCUAACUCCGUG